UGCAGCAGAAACACUGCUACAGAACAAGUGUCUUGGUUCACAGCAAAGAGGACAAAGAAAACAGCAAGUUUUAGGGGGUUGAAUCCUGGAUUGUGGUGACCAGAUGGAUAUAAACGGGCUGUGGAAAAAGAGAAUGCAUGGCCAAAACUGGUGGUGCUCUCUGUCCAAAAACUAAGGCCCUAUGACCAUGAAUGAAGCCAGAGGGCAGGUAGGAACAGGGGUUUUUCCCAAGGAAAUAGAAAUCACAAAUCUUCUCUAGAAUACAGAAAUAUUCUAGAGAUCACUGACGCAUUUGAGGGAAAUCAAAAACAAAACAAAACAGAACAAACAGAAGCCUUAAACAGUAAAAUAACAGCAAGAUGAAACUGAUUUAAGACAAUCAAAUAACAUCGUUUCCUGUUCAUUCUCUAAACACAAGCUUUCUCUCG